rnacentral:sRNA from 1 species
UAUCUCUCCGUACGGGGAAGGAUGAGAAGCUUCGACUAAGGUUCGAUUCGAGCGAAGCGAGAGAACGUUGCCAACGGCAACGGCCCGAAGGGCGAAGCGCGCAGCGCUGAGUCAUCCUUCCCCCACCACCA